rnacentral:rRNA from 1 species
GAUGAACGCUGGCGGCGUGCCUAAUACAUGCAAGUCGAGCGAACGGACGAGAAGCUUGCUUCUCUGAUGUUAGCGGCGGACGGGUGAGUAACACGUGGAUAACCUACCUAUAAGACUGGGAUAACUUCGGGAAACCGGAGCUAAUACCGGAUAAUAUUUUGAACCGCAUGGUUCAAAAGUGAAAGACGGUCUUGCUGUCACUUAUAGAUGGAUCCGCGCUGCAUUAGCUAGUUGGUAAGGUAACGGCUUACCAAGGCAACGAUGCAUAGCCGACCUGAGAGGGUGAUCGGCCACACUGGAACUGAGACACGGUCCAGACUCCUACGGGAGGCAGCAGUAGGGAAUCUUCCGCAAUGGGCGAAAGCCUGACGGAGCAACGCCGCGUGAGUGAUGAAGGUCUUCGGAUCGUAAAACUCUGUUAUUAGGGAAGAACAUAUGUGUAAGUAACUGUGCACAUCUUGACGGUACCUAAUCAGAAAGCCACGGCUAACUACGUGCCAGCAGCCGCGGUAAUACGUAGGUGGCAAGCGUUAUCCGGAAUUAUUGGGCGUAAAGCGCGCGUAGGCGGUUUUUUAAGUCUGAUGUGAAAGCCCACGGCUCAACCGUGGAGGGUCAUUGGAAACUGGAAAACUUGAGUGCAGAAGAGGAAAGUGGAAUUCCAUGUGUAGCGGUGAAAUGCGCAGGGAUAUGGAGGAACACCAGUGGCGAAGGCGACUUUCUGGUCUGUAACUGACGCUGAUGUGCGAAAGCGUGGGGAUCAAACAGGAUUAGAUACCCUGGUAGUCCACGCCGUAAACGAUGAGUGCUAAGUGUUAGGGGGUUUCCGCCCCUUAGUGCUGCAGCUAACGCAUUAAGCACUCCGCCUGGGGAGUACGACCGCAAGGUUGAAACUCAAAGGAAUUGACGGGGACCCGCACAAGCGGUGGAGCAUGUGGUUUAAUUCGAAGCAACGCGAAGAACCUUACCAAAUCUUGACAUCCUUUGACAACUCUAGAGAUAGAGCUUUCCCCUUCGGGGGACAAAGUGACAGGUGGUGCAUGGUUGUCGUCAGCUCGUGUCGUGAGAUGUUGGGUUAAGUCCCGCAACGAGCGCAACCCUUAAGCUUAGUUGCCAUCAUUAAGUUGGGCACUCUAAGUUGACUGCCGGUGACAAACCGGAGGAAGGUGGGGAUGACGUCAAAUCAUCAUGCCCCUUAUGAUUUGGGCUACACACGUGCUACAAUGGACAAUACAAAGGGCAGCGAAACCGCGAGGUCAAGCAAAUCCCAUAAAGUUGUUCUCAGUUCGGAUUGUAGUCUGCAACUCGACUACAUGAAGCUGGAAUCGCUAGUAAUCGUAGGUCAGCAUGCUACGGUGAAUACGUUCCCGGGUCU